UAAAUGUGAUUUGCAGAUAGCACGAAUGCCAGCAAUCGUGCAACGUAGGAGUUCAAAGGGAGACAUGGUCAGUGUGGUUGGGUGCAAGCAACGUGUCAUU